AUGUAUUGCAAAAUAAUUCUCUCCUUUCUCCCAAGUUUUGCAUUUCAAGAACCCCUCAAGUAUUUGAGAAAAAUUGUUCUGUUUGUUAACUACUCCCUGUGCUCACUUUUCAGUUUCCCUGACCUCAUCUUCCUGCCAGUGGAUUUACUAAUCCUUUGCCUGUGGAAUGACAGAGUCCUGCUUCCCAGAUCCCAAGAGAAAGCAGCAGCUGUGAAGGAAAGAAAAGUAAAUAUUCAGCACAGGAGCUGGACUGGGCCCGGAUUUUAUUUUUUUUUGGUGAAAAUCCAAAUGCUCUCUCUAAGGUCUCAGUGAGACUUUGAGCCAUGGUCAGCUGGACCAUCAUGGGCAGAGCCCCUCGUUUGCUUCAGUCUUUUGGAAGGUAAAGGAGAGAAGUGAAGAAAGCCCAGCGGUCCCCAAACUGUGUGAAUCGACCUGCUUGGGGCUGUGUUGUAAAAACAUUAGAUUGGAGAUCUGGGCAUAAUAAACGCAAGAUAACAUUGCCA
rnacentral:lncRNA from 1 species